GACAUAGGCCUCGAGCGUUAGGCGGAAUCACUGGGCUUAAAGCGUGUGUAGGCGGACCUCUAAGUACCUUGUGAAAUCCCACGGCUCACCCGUGGAACCGCUGGGUAUACUGGGGGUCUUGGGCCACUCAGGGGCGACUGGAACAAGCGGUGGAGCGGUGAAAUGCGUAGAUAUCGCUUGGAACGCCGAAGGUGAAAACAGGUCGCUGGGAGUGCGCCGACGCUGAGACACGAAAGCCAGGGGAGCAAACGGG
rnacentral:rRNA from 1 species